rnacentral:rRNA from 1 species
UGCAUAUCAAUAAGCGGAGGAAAAGAAACCAACAGGGAUUGCCUUAGUAACGGCGAGUGAAGCGGCAAAAGCUCAAAUUUGAAAUCGGCCUCCAGGUCGAGUUGUAAUUUGUAGAUUGUAUCUUGAGAGCGGAUUAAAGUCUGUUGGAACACAGCGCCUUAGAGGGUGACAGCCCCGUAAAAUCUAUUCUCAUUGUAAGAUACUUUCGAAGAGUCGAGUUGUUUGGGAAUA